ACGAACGCUGGCGGCGUGCUUAACACAUGCCAGUCGAACGGAAAGGCCCUGCUUUUGUGGGGUGCUCGAGUGGCGAACGGGUGAGUAACACGUGAGUAACCUGCCCUUGACUUUGGGAUAACUUCAGGAAACUGGGGCUAAUACCGGAUAGGAGCUCCUGCUGCAUGGUGGGGGUUGGAAAGUUUCGGCGGUUGGGGAUGGACUCGCGGCUUAUCAGCUUGUUGGUGGGGUAGUGGCUUACCAAGGCUUUGACGGGUAGCCGGCCUGGGAGGGUGACCGGCCACAUUGGGACUGAGAUACGGCCCAGACUCCUACGGGAGGCAGCAGUGGGGAAUACUGCACAAUGGGCGGAAGCCUGAUGCAGCAACGCCGCGUGCGGGAUGACGGCCUUCGGGUUGUAAACCGCUUUCGCCUGUGACGAAGCGUGAGUGACGGUAAUGGGUAAAGAAGCACCGGCUAACUACGUG
rnacentral:rRNA from 1 species